rnacentral:rRNA from 1 species
AUGGCCGCCGCCGGCGGUGAGCGAGACGAGGCGGACGACCUCGGAACGGGAGAGACCGAGGCCGGUGAGCUCCUCGAAAAUGGGCGUCAGGGUUCGCCCCACGCUGGCACAGAGGAACUUGGGGUCCUUGGCGAUGAGGGCGGAGACAUCGGCGCCGGAGAAGCCGAGGCCGGCGAGGAAGGCGAGCACGGCGUCGGGAUUGGUGGGGGACUUGAUGUGGGAGAUCUUCGCGGAUGCCUUGAGGGCCAGGGGUCGGGUGAGGCCGCAGGUGUCCACGAGGUACUCCUCCACGGCGAAGCUAGGACAUGGGGAGAUGCGGGAGCCGGUGGCGGUGGCGAAGAGGAGGCAGCGGUGGAGAGAGGAGAUGGAAGAGGCGGUGUAAGAAGAGAGGAGGAUGCCGGAAAGGGUGGAUCUUGGGAGGCGGAACAUGGUGCAGCGCCGGCGCCGACGGCGGCAAAGGGGAGAAAUUUCCAGUAG